rnacentral:rRNA from 1 species
UCCGUAGGUGAACCUGCGGAAGGAUCAUUACGUUUCUGCCUUUUUACAGGCAGUCGGGGGGCUGUAGUCUCUAUAGCCUCUGUCUGAACCCGUGUCUUUUGUGUACCACAUGUUUCCUCGGCGGGCUUGCCCGCCGGAUGGACUUCUUAAACCCUUUGCAAUUGCAAUCAGCGUCUGAAAAUUUAUAAUAAUUACAACUUUCAACAACGGAUCUCUUGGUUCUGGCAUCGAUGAAGAACGCAGCGAAAUGCGAUAAGUAGUGUGAAUUGCAGAAUUCAGUGAAUCAUCGAAUCUUUGAACGCACAUUGCGCCCCUUGGUAUUCCAUGGGGCAUGCCUGUUCGAGCGUCAUUUGUACCCUCAAGCUCUGCUUGGUGUUGGGUGUUUGUCCUUACUUUACGUUUGGACUCGCCUUAAAGCAAUUGGCAGCCGGCAAAUUGGUCUUGGAGCGCAGCACAUUUUGCGUUUCUCAUCAAUAUACUGGCGUCCAUCAAGUCAUAAUAUCACUUUUGACCUCGGAUCAGGUAGGGAUACCCGCUGAACUUAAGCAUAUCAAUAAGCGGAGGGAAGUCGGACUGGCCAAGGGGCACACCAGGGGGGGGGGAUA